UAAACCCAGAGCCACACUGAGAGCAGAGAAAACAAUCAUACCACUAGGGGGCAGUGUUAGACUGACCUGCUCUGUGGAUGGAUCUGCUGACUGGAAGUUUGACUGGUUCAGAAAUGGGCAACAAUAUGCUGUCCGGACCAGAGGAAACAAUGAGCCAUACAGAGUCAUCAGCAUCUCAGAGGGAGGUCUAUACAGCUGCAGAGGAGGAAGAGGAGAUCCAGUUUUUACAACAGAAACAAGCAAAGAAAUCUCUAUUAGGAAAACUGUUCGCAUCACACCGAUUGUGACCCAACAACCAAACUGGUCUCAGAUGUUCAGAGGAGAGACAGUCACUCUGAGAUGUGAGAUCCAUGGAGGUGGAGGAGCUCAGUGGACGUAUGAAUGGAUUCCAAGCAACAGUAACUCUGCAACAUCCAGUGAAUACAGGAUUACUGCAGCUGACAGUAGAAAUUAUCGAUGCAGAGGAAGAACAGGUGGCUAUAUUACAACAGAGUGGGGACUUCUCCAAAUAACUGUAUUAAAUAAACCUCCGCCUGUCCUCUCUGUGUCUCCAUCAUGGCUGAGUCCUGGAGCCUCAGUGACUCUGAGCUGUGGGGGGUUGGAGCAUCCAUCUGCAGGAUGGAGGUUCUUCUGGUAUAAAGUGGUUCCAGCAAAAUCCAGCAGCUCCUACAGCUUAGAGCUGCUGACUGGCGGAACCAACUGGACUGAACAGAACUCCUACCUCAUUAAUGGACAGAAUCACACAGCAGGAUAUGUGUGCA